GCUGGGCGUGGUGGUGCGCGCCUGUAGUUCCAGCUACUUGGAAGGCUGAGGUGGGAGAAUAGCUUGAACCCGGGAGGCAGAGGUUGCAGUGAGCCGAGAUCGUGCCACUGCACUCCAGCCUGGGUGACAGAGCAAGACUCCAUCUCAA
rnacentral:SRP_RNA from 2 species